UCUGAGAGGACGACCAGCCACACUGGGACUGAGACACGGCCCAGACUCCUACGGGAGGCAGCAGUGGGGAAUUUUGGACAAUGGGCGCAAGCCUGAUCCAGCAAUGCCGCGUGUGUGAAGAAGGCCUUCGGGUUGUAAAGCACUUUUGUCCGGGAAGAAAUCCCUGGUCCUAAUAUGGCCGGGGGAUGACGGUACUGGAAGAAUAAGCACCGGCUAACUACGUGCCAGCAGCCGCGGUAAUACGUAGGGUGCGAGCGUUAAUCGGAAUUACUGGGCGUAAAGCGUGCGCAGGCGGUGAUGUAAGACCGAUGUGAAAUCCCCGGGCUUAACCUGGGAACUGCAUUGGUGACUGCAUCGCUCGAGUAUGGCAGAGGGGGGUAGAAUUCCACGUGUAGCAGUGAAAUGCGUAGAGAUGUGGAGGAAUACCGAUGGCGAAGGCAGCCCCCUGGGUCAAUACUGACGCUCA
rnacentral:rRNA from 1 species